rnacentral:pre_miRNA from 1 species
AAAAAGGCAAACAUUGGGUUUCCGUGUCCAAUUUUGACUGUGCGUCUUAUAUGAAAUUUUUUUUAUAAUUCGUAUUUUCAUUGUUGUUAGAUGAUAAAACAUGAUUAAUAUUUUAUGCGUGACUUGUCUUUUUAAUUUUUUCAUAUUUUUUUUAAAUAAGACGGACGGUCAAACGUUGGGCACGGAAACC